UCCUGAUUGCUCGUGCUUGCCGGACUUGACGUUGGCUUUACCAGCGAGUGGCGCGACGGGUGAGUACACGUCAGGAUAGACCGUGUCCCCCUAGCGGGGCGAUAACAUUUGGCAAACAUGAUGCGUAAUACCGCAUAUCAAUUUGAAUCGCAUGAUUCUUAUUUAUGAGAUGGAUGCAGCUAUCACUUUGGGAUGGACCUGCGGCGCAUUAGCUUGUUGGUAGGGUACCGGACUACCAAGGCUGCGAUGCGUAUCCGAGUUGAGAGACUGAUCGACCACAAUGCAACUGACCACACGGUCCAUACUCCUACGGAAGGCACCAGUAGGGAAUCUUCCACAAUGGGCGCAAGCCUGAUGGAGCAACACCGCGUGAGUGAAGAAGGGUUUCGGCUCGUAAAGCUCUGUUGUUAGAGAAGAACGUGCGUGAGAUCAACUGUUCUCGCAGUGACGGUAUCUAACCAUACAGUCACGGCUAACUACGUGCCAGCAGCCGCGGUAAUACGUAGGUGGCAAGCGUUAUCCGGAUUUAUUGGGCGUAAAGCGAGCGCAGGCGGUUUGAUAAGUCUGAUGUGAAAGCCUUUGGCUUAACCAAAGAAGUGCAUCGGAAACUGUCAGACUUGAGUGCAGAAGAGGACAGUGGAACUCCAUGUGUAGC
rnacentral:rRNA from 1 species